GCCAGUAUGGCGGAAGUGGUAGACGCGCCUGAUUUAAAACCAGGUGCCGGAAAUGGCGUGCGAGUUCGAUUCUCGCUGCUGGCA
rnacentral:tRNA from 1 species